rnacentral:rRNA from 1 species
GAUGAACGCUAGCGGCAGGCCUAACACAUGCAAGUCGAGGGGUAACUAGAGUGAUAGCAAUAUUACUUUGGCUAGACCGGCGCACGGGUGCGUAACACGUAUGCAACCUACCUUAUACUGGGGAAUAACUUCGAGAAAUCGGCGCUAAUACCCCAUAACAUUUCGAAGAGGCAUCUCUUUGCAAUUAAAGCUCCGGCGGGAUAAGAUGGGCAUGCGUCCAAUUAGCUAGUUGGUGAGGUAACGGCUCACCAAGGCUACGAUUGGUAGGGGUCCUGAGAGGAUGAUCCCCCACACUGGUACUGAGACACGGACCAGACUCCUACGGGAGGCAGCAGUGAGGAAUAUUGCGCAAUGGACGAAAGUCUGACGCAGCCAUGCCGCGUGCAGGAUGACGGCCCUAUGGGUUGUAAACUGCUUUUGUACGGGAAUAAACCCUUCUACGUGUAGGAGGCUGAAGGUACCGUAAGAAUAAGCACCGGCUAACUCCGUGCCAGCCGCCGCCGUAACAC